rnacentral:rRNA from 1 species
AGUGAACGCUGGCGGUAGGCCUAACACAUGCAAGUCGAACGGCAGCACAGUAAGAGCUUGCUCUUACGGGUGGCGAGUGGCGGACGGGUGAGGAAUACAUCGGAAUCUACUUUUUCGUGGGGGAUAACGUAGGGAAACUUACGCUAAUACCGCAUACGACCUACGGGUGAAAGCAGGGGAUCUUCGGACCUUGCGCGAUUGAAUGAGCCGAUGUCGGAUUAGCUAGUUGGCGGGGUAAAGGCCCACCAAGGCGACGAUCCGUAGCUGGUCUGAGAGGAUGAUCACCCACACUGUAACUGAGACACGGUCCAGACUCCUACGGGAGGCAGCAGUGGGGAAUAUUGGACAAUGGGCGCAAGCCUGAUCCAGCCAUACCGCGUGGGUGAAGAAGGCCUUCGGGUUGUAAAGCCCUUUUGUUGGGAAAGAAAAGCAGCAGGUUAAUACCCCGCUGUUCUGACGGUACCCAAAGAAUAAGCACCGGCUAACUUCGUG